CUCUGAGGAACCUAGGUGGUGGGAGGGCUCCUGAUAUUCCAGCAGUUGGUGAGUGUGCACCCCCUGCAGGAGCUUGUGGAGUACUACCAGUGCCACUCUCUCAAGGAAAGCUUCAAGCAGUUGGACACUACGCUCAAGUUCCCCUACAAGUCCCGGGAGCGUGCUACCACCAGGACCUCAAGCCGGUCCCCAGUGUUUACACCUCGGGUCAUUGGCACAGCUGUGGCCAGGUACAACUUUGCUGCACGGGACAUGCGGGAGCUGUCGCUGCGGGAAGGUGACGUGGUGAAGAUCUACAGCCGAAUCGGUGGGGACCAGGGCUGGUGGAAAGGCGAGACGAAUGGACGGAUCGGUUGGUUUCCUUCGACGUAUGUGGAAGAGGAGGGUGUCCAGUGAAGGCGAGACUUGGACAGGACUCACAGAUGUUCUUGGGAGUCUCCCCAGCUCUGAAGUCCACCUCUGGCCUCUCCAUGGCUCUGGGAACUGCCUGCCAGGCCUGCAGCUGUUAUGACCCAUAGGGAUGGGUGUUCCACUGUCACCUGCCCUGGGUUACCUGUCCCUGGGUACAUUCCUUGUACAUAGAGGAAUCCUGUGCUGACCACACCCAGAGCACCAAGGAGAGGGAGCUCAGGCAACAUGGCCAGGCGGGUGUGGAUGACAGCCAAGGUCAGAAGUCACCGCCUGCCCCUCUAGAUGUUCAGGAGCCUAGAACUCAAUUCAUGGUGUGCCAGGGAGGGCUGGGGACAGCAGAGGGGGCCCUCUCUAGCCCGCUCGGCCUUCCGCUGAACUGCCUGUCUUUUCUGCUGCUCUCUAGAGUAGGUGUCAGGUCUUGGGAGGCAGGCAGGACCAGACUGUGCUGUAGAGCACACUAGGCCCAUCUGGGGACCAGGAUCAGAGAGCUUGCACAGGAGCCCAGGGUCCUGCUGGCUCUGCAGCUCCCCCGCCCCCCACUGCCUCCCUUCCCAACACAUUAGGGUCCUGCUGAGUGUUACUGGGCAGGCCCCUCUCUUGGGAGGGGCCUUUGGAACGAUGACAUUGCUGUCCCACCCCUGGCCCACCCCCAGUCAGUGGUACUGCUCUUCGUUUGUUGAAGCCUCUUUCCUGAGGUCUUCCCUGCCCUGCUGCCAGAGGACACAUCUGUGGACCCCAUAGGGCAGGGGAGAGAACCAGGCUCCCCUCCCCACUGCCUCUUUUCUCUCCAGGAGGCACUCUUCUGCAUUCCAAACCAUAGUCCCUAGGAGUCUGUUGGCCUUUGCACUAGAUGUCGGUUCU